rnacentral:lncRNA from 1 species
GGAGGAAAAAGCAAAAUCCUUUGUACUUUGUGAUUUUUAAGGACAAAGAAAAAUCUUCCAAAUUAUGAGAAGGGAGAAAAUAUGAAAACAAGCCUCAUUCCCAGCUCACUUAGCAAAUGAGCAGUGAGCACCUACCAUGUGCAGAGACCGGAGCUGGCAAAGCAGGAGGGGCAAAGCAGGAAGGGCUAGUCCCCAUGUGGACUGGAGAGUCCCACCAGUGAAAGGUCAUUGUUGCCUCCUGGAUUGUGCCAGGCUUAGACAAUGUUUCAGUCUCACUCCUAUUACAGCCAGCAGUGCAAGCCUUCUCCUUCCCUUCUACAGUGAGGACAUGGAGGCUAAGAGAGGCCAAGUAUGGAUUGAAACCUCUACAAACUGUGAGCUGAAAUAAACCACCUAGCCCUUUGUGAGGGGGAAGAGUGGACAGAAAAACCCUUCCUGGAAGAUGGCCCACCUAAGAGAACUCAAAACUAGAGGAGAUUGUGGUUGUCAAGUAGCCCUGCUCUAGCCUCAGGUACAGACAGUGGGCUCCAAAUGACAGCCAACCAAUGUGACAGCAGCCUGGAGACCAGAUUCUACCAAAGCCUGAAUAAAGCUGGAAGAUUCCACAUAAGCAUUGAGUCUGCCCCACACCUUGAUUACAGCCUUGUGAGCAUCCACACAGGAGCCCAAUUGAGCCUGCCCACAUUUCUGACCCACAGAAUUACGAGCUAGUGAAUAAAGGC